GAAUAAACCAUAUACGCCUUUCUU
rnacentral:siRNA from 1 species